GGAUUUUACUUGAGGAGUCUCACUCAUACCUGAUUUAGAUUAUGUAGAUGAUGAGAUUUGGAACUUUUGAGCUGAUGCUAUUAAAGUGAGAUUUUGAACUUGAGUUGAUGCUGUAAUGGGUUGAAUCUUUUUGGGGGU